rnacentral:rRNA from 1 species
CCCUUAGAUGUUCUGGGCCGCACACGCGCUACACUGAAGGAGGCAGCGUGUACUCCUGGAUCGAAAGAUUUGGGUAACCCGCGAAUCUCCUUCGUGCUAGGGAUUGAGGUUUGCAAUUAUCCUUCAUGAACGAGGAAUUCCCAGUAAGUGCAAGUCAUCAGCUUGCGUUGAUUACGUCCCUGCCCUUUGUACACACCGCCCGUCGCACCUACUGAUUGGAUGACUCGGUGAAGAAUCGGGACCGUGAGAACAAUCGAUUCAUUUCGAAUGUACUUGUGGGAACCUUUCUUAACCUCGUUUUCUAGAGGAAGGUGAAGUCGUAACA